rnacentral:rRNA from 1 species
GCACAAGCGGUGGAUGAUGUGGUUAAUUCGAUGCAACGCGAAAACCUUACCCACCUUUGACAUGUACGGAAUCCUUAGAGAUAGAGGAGUGCUCGAAAGAGAGCCGUAACACAGGUGCUGCAUGGCUGUCGUCAGCUCGUGUCGUGAGAUGUUGGGUUAAGUCCCGCAACGAGCGCAACCCUUGUCAUUAGUUGCUACAUUCAGUUGGGCACUCUAAUGAGACUGCCGGUGACAAACCGGAGGAAGGUGGGGAUGACGUCAAGUCCUCAUGGCCCUUAUAGGUGGGGCUACACACGUCAUACAAUGGCUGGUACAGAGGGUUGCCAACCCGCGAGGGGGAGCCAAUCCCAUAAAGCCAGUCGUAGUCCGGAUCGCAGUCUGCAACUCGACUGCGUGAAGUCGGAAUCGCUAGUAAUCGCGGAUCAGAAUGUCGCGGUGAAUACGUUCCCGGGUCUUGUACACACC